rnacentral:lncRNA from 1 species
AUAAGGAAUAGAGGAGAGUUAUAGAGUUUGCAUAGCUGUUCUGGAGGCUGGGAAGUCCAAGGGCAUGGUGCCAACAUCUGCUAAGUCCCUGGUGAGGGCCUUCCUGCUGCAUGCUAAUAGAGGGGCUCAGGUGCUGAGACAGAGCAAACUUGGGCCAGCUCAGGCCUGGCCUCCUCUACUUAGCUACCAAUUCCAUCCUGGGAGCCUCAUGCCUAUGAUAUUACUGAACGCUAAUUACAUCCUUAAAGGCCUCAUCCCCAAAUACCAACAGCAUAUGAAUUUGGGGGUUAAGUUUCCAACGUGAAGUUUGGGGACAUAUUCAAAUAUAGCAACAGAUUAAUGGGAGGGAAGACAACAUAUGUAUGCAUAUAUGGGGUGGAGGUUGGCAGAGAUAGUGGGAAUUUUACAAGUUCUUAUUCCUUUAAAUUUCUCAUUGGAAUCAGGAGCAAAACCAUUGACUGUAAGUAUGGAAGAAGACUAUUAGAGGUUUCAAGAAAGAGGAAAUGUGGGCUGAAUGAGGGAGAUACAGGAGUAGUGUUGCCAGGCAGCUGGGAGUGAAUGGGAGACAGAGGAGUAGGGCUGCCAAGGCAGCUGGGAGAACCCGUUGAGGUUUGUGCCUCAAAGUGAGACGAGUUAGCAUGAGUGUUUUCUCCAGCCACGUUCAGCUGCCUGGUAGUAGGUGCAAAAUGGAAAAGGCCGGCAAGCAGGCAGGGGUUUAAAGGAGAAGGUAACAGUGAAUAUAGUGACCACGGAGUCCGCUGAGUAAGGAGGGAAGAAAGGACGUGAGAAGGACAAGCUUAGUCAGAGGGGCAGGAUUACCAAGUAAGGUCUUGUCUUUUUCCCCUUUGCUGCAUUUAUCACUACCUGAAGCUCCCCACUAAAACAAGCUCCAGAGGCAGCAGGCUUCCUUUUUCUUGGUCACCACUCUAUCCUCAGCGCCAAAGGCAGUGCCUAAUUCACAGUAGGGGUCAGUAAUUAUUUGCCUAAUGAAUGAAUGCAAGCCAAAUAAAUUCUUAUUAUGAAGAUCCAGCAUUUUCUUAUUAAUGUGGUCAGAAAGUGUAUUAGGAUAGAUAGCCUAUUUCAGUGGCUUAAAAGUCAGUUAUAUAUUUUUGCUCUAUGAAGCUCUCUGGUCAGUUGAGGCAGCUCUUUCCCAGUUUCCUUCCAUUCACGUGGUUUACUCAUUGCUCCAGGCCACUUUGAUCCUGAGAACCUAUCACCUCAACACAGUCCUUCAUGUUCACGGUGGUGAGGAAGAGAGCAGGAGAACUCACACCCAAGGCCCUUCUAUAAGUCUUCCCAGUGGUCAAUGGCCAGAUCAGGCAGAGGAUUCCCCCUGAGGGCGCAGAGGGAAUCGGUGGUGAGUACUGCUGCCCCUGCCGUGGAAGGAGCCAGUAAUUGCAACCUUGUCUGGACCAAUUGGGAUGAACAAAGGAUGUGCCUGAAAAUACCUGUUGGCUUUAUUUUGGUAAUCAUUAAAACACCAGUUCUUAAAAUUUCUCUCAUUUUGCCUUUGAAAAGUUUUUACAUUCAUUGCAUGCACCUGCCAAUCUUU